GCGCCCGUAGCUCAGCUGGAUAGAGUGUCGGCCUCCGAAGCCGAAGGUCGCCAGUUCGAAUCUGGCCGGGCGCGCCA
rnacentral:tRNA from 1 species